UGGGGAAUUUUGGACAAUGGGGGCAACCCUGAUCCAGCAAUGCCGCGUGUGUGAAGAAGGCCUUCGGGUUGUAAAGCACUUUUGGCGGGAACGAAACGGCCUGAGCUAAUACCUCGGGCUAAUGACGGUACUCGCAGAAUAAGCACCGGCUAACUACGUGCCAGCAGCCGCGGUAAUACGUAGGGUGCAAGCGUUAAUCGGAAUUACUGGGCGUAAAGCGUGCGCAGGCGGUUGUGUAAGACAGGUGUGAAAUCCCCGGGCUUAACCUGGGAACUGCACUUGUGACUGCACGGCUAGAGUGUGUCAGAGGGGGGUGGAAUUCCACGUGUAGCAGUGAAAUGCGUAGAGAUGUGGAGGAACACCGAUGGCGAAGGCAGCCCCCUGGGAUAACACUGACGCU
rnacentral:rRNA from 1 species